rnacentral:rRNA from 1 species
AUCAUAUCUGAAACGACUCUCGGCAACGGAUAUCUCGGCUCUCGCAUCGAUGAAGAACGUAGCGAAAUGCSAUACUUGGUGUGAAUUGCAGAAUCCCGUGAACCAUCGAGUUUUUGAACGCAAGUUGCGCCCGAAGCCGUCAGGCCGAGGGCACGUGYGCC